rnacentral:rRNA from 1 species
GACAGAGGGUGCAAACGUUGUUCGGAAUUACUGGGCGUAAAGCGAGUGUAGGCGGUUUGGUAAGUCGGAUGUGAAAGCCCUGGGCUCAACCCAGGAAGUGCAUUCGAUACUGUCAAGCUAGAGUAUCGGAGAGGUUGGUGGAAUUCUCGGUGUAGAGGUGAAAUUCGUAGAUAUUCGGAAGAACACCAGUGACGAAGGCGACUCACUGGACAUGUAUUGACGCUGAGGUACGAAAGCGUGGGGAGCAAACAGG